AUGAGAAACUCCGCCCAGCGGUACUGCUGCUGCUGUUCUUCAUUGGAGUACAGUUUCCAUGUGUUUCUCCUCCGACUGUGUACGCUGAUGCUGCGGGAACGGCAGACGUCGCCUCCGCACACACCCCCAAGGACACCAAUUUCCCAGCGCCAAAUAGAAAAUGCACAUGUGAAAUCGAGAGUUUCUGCACUCCGAGCACAGAGUUAG
rnacentral:rRNA from 1 species